UGCCGCGUGCAGGAUGAAGGCCUUCGGGUUGUAAACUGCUUUUGUACGGAACGAAAAGGUUUGGCCUAAUAAGCUGAGCUCAUGACGGUACCGUAAGAAUAAGCACCGGCUAACUACGUGCCAGCAGCCGCGGUAAUACGUAGGGUGCGAGCGUUAAUCGGAAUUACUGGGCGUAAAGCGUGCGCAGGCGGUUAUGUAAGACAGAUGUGAAAUCCCCGGGCUCAACCUGGGAACUGCAUUAGUGACUGCAUAGCUGGAGUACGGCAGAGGGGGAUGGAAUUCCGCGUGUAGCAGUGAAAUGCGUAGAUAUGCGGAGGAACACCGAUGGCGAAGGCAAUCCCCUGGGCCUGUACUGACGCUCAUGCACGAAAGCGUGGGGAGCAAACAGGAUUAGAUACCCUGGUAGUCCACGCCCUAAACGAUGUCAACUGGUUGUUGGGUCUUCACUGACUC
rnacentral:rRNA from 1 species